AUGCUCUACAUAAUAUACAGUAGUAAUAACACAGAGAGUACGUAUGGAAUGCGUAUCUCUCUAUAUAUAUUUAUGAUAUAUAGCUAGUGUGAUAUCAACCUCGCAUAUUUUCUCUCUGUUGACCACGGCUCCCACAACGUGUCGCGAUGGAUGACUUGGCUUCCUAUUUCUUUGAAGAACGCAGCAAAGUGCGAUAAGUGGUAUCAAUUGCAGAAUCAUUUCAUUGCCCAAUCUUUGAACGCAAACGGCGCAUGGAGAGAGCUCUCUCGAGACAUCCCCGUGCACGCCCAUUUCUCAGUGUCGAAUAGAGAAACAAACACACGCCUAUUUUUUGUGGUUCAACGCACGCAAAAAAUCCCCCCCCCUCUUUUCCUCGUGUGGGGCAUAUUCAUGUUUGUGA
rnacentral:rRNA from 1 species